UAAUACAGAGGGUGCAAGCGUUAAUCGGAAUUACUGGGCGUAAAGGGUGCGUAGGUGGUUAAUUAAGUCAGAUGUGAAAUCCCAAGGCUUAACCUUGGAAUUGCAUUUGAUACUGGUUAGCUAGAGUACAGAAGAGGGAAGUGGAAUUUCCGGUGUAGCGGUGAAAUGCGUAGAUAUCGGAAGGAACAUCAGUGGCGAAGGCGACUUCCUGGUCUGUUACUGACACUGAGGCACGAAAGCGUGGGGAGCGAACAGGAUUAGAUACCCUGGUAGUCCACGCCGUAAACUAUGAGAACUAGAUGUUAGGGGGCUUAGACCUCUUAGUAUCGCAGCAAACGCGUUAAGUUCUCCGCCUGGGGAGUACGGCCGCAAGGUUA
rnacentral:rRNA from 1 species